UUAAAGUUGAUUUUUAAAGCAAUGCUUCAG
rnacentral:piRNA from 1 species